GGUCCUUCUGCUCCGGAAGUCCCGCCCCUGCCCUGUGCCCCGGAAGCAGAUCCCACUUGCGAGCGUAGCACGUUUUUUCCAACCUUUGGUCCUUCUUCGGGGUGAGACAAGUCGUGGUGCCCCUGAGGCUCCCCUGCCUGGGACCUGGGUCAGAGUGGGGGCAUCCGGACUCGAACUGGCGCACUAAGACCGAGUGACCUCGUGUUACCGUCGCUGACACUUGUAGCUGGAGGAGUGGGACCCAGAAGAGUUAAAAGGACUCCAGCGUCCAGGUUUGCUGAGGGCCCGAUGGUGACCUCUUCGCUUUUUUUCUUUUUUUUGUACCGGGGAUCGAACUCACGACCUUGCACUUGCUUGGCAGGCGGCGAAGCCACUGAGCUAAAUCCCCGGCCCUCCUCUUUGCUCUUUGAUGUCUUGAGUCUUGGGUCUCCACCGAGGCCGCCCUAGGGCUGGACGACUGUCCUCCCGUCCCUUCCAGCACGCAGCUCUCUGUGCUAGAAGAGUGUAAAGUGACCAGAACAACCUCCUCAUCCUUUUUCCAAGUAGCGAUGGGAUCAUGAGAGGAGGCGAGGUGUGUGUGCAAGGUCUAAGUCCUGCCUCAGCCUCCCAGAGUGAAACUUUCGGCCAUACCAGGAGCUGUAACUGGAUGAGUUUCCAUCAUUCCUGACAGCAUUCUUUCAUCCCUGCUCGCAACACUCAACAUGUCUGUCUUCUCACCUCCAUUUCUCCAAGUGAGUUCUGAAGGAAAAUGACAGAAACCGUUCUAGAGCAGAACUCGUCCGGAUACUAAGGUGAUAACACCUGCAAGGCAGCGAGGCACCUUCCAGAUCAAUCUCCAGAUGCAGUAAUUGUCUCAGUCUCAGUUUCCCAAUGUUGGACCGAGUACACUUUUGCAUAGGAAAGCAGCAUACAAGUGGGGGUCUGUAUUAAUUUAAACCUAAUCUUGAUAAAUAGUUACUAUAUUGUCAUUGUCUCAAGAUCAAAAUUGCUGUUAAUAUUUCUAUAUUUUGUAGAGGGAAAAGAGAGAGGAAAAAAAUAGUUAUUUUAAUCUAGCAUGGCCAGUGUAGCUAAAAGUGUGCCUUGAUUUAGUAUAAUUGUUUUAUGUGUUUUAUAUGUUUUUGGCUAGUUAAUCUGGCUGUUAAUCUGUGUUUAUAGUUAACUUGGUAAAGACAUAAAAUAAAUAAAUCUAAUGCUGGCCAAAAGAGAGAAAAAAUAUUUUUUAAUUAGGGUGGAAGGGAAGGAGAAAAAAAGAAUUGAGAUGUAUUAUAUGAAUAUACUGAUACCCCACAACAAGUAUAAUCAUAAUAUACUGCAAACAUGCACUAAUAAAAAAUUUUUAAAAUAUACCUGUGUUUUGUUACUGCAACGGGUAAGUUCCGCCACGCCCGGCUUGGACAGCUCUUCUUGCUGUGGUACUGAGCAGGAAGAGGCUGGUCAAGGUGGGCACUCACUUACUAGUGGGAUUAGAGGAUGCACAGCCCUCCUCUGCCUCGUGAUCACAACCCUCGGCUUAACAGUGUGCCCAAAAUUCCCAGUUGCCCAUCUUCUGGGGGAACAUAAAGCCUUGAAAUCUCAUCUUUGAUAAUUGAUACUCGGAAUGAACAUGUUGCUGUUCUCCAAUAGCAUAGUCCACCACGCCCGGCUUGGACAGCUCUUCUUGCUAUGGUACUGAGCAGGAAGAGGCUGGUCAAGGCGGGCACUCCCUUACUAGUGGGAUUAGAGGAUGCACAGCCCUCCUCUGCCUCGUGAUCACAACCCUCGGCUUAACAGUGUGCCCAAAAUUCCCAGUUGCCCAUCUUCUGGGGGAACAUAAAGCCUUGAAAUCUCAUCUUUGAUAAUUGAUAUUCGGAAUGAACAUGUCGCUGUUCUCCAAUAGCAUAGUACCAGCAAGUGUACCUGGUUAACCAGCUGGGUCAACUCCCGAGGCACUAAAGCAGCAUCUAUAGAACACAGGACAGCAUCUUUGCACCUGACUCCUUUACUCAGUAAGCUCUGGAGCUAGAGAGAAAGGGAAUGAGAAUGCAGGACCUGUACUGGAAGGGAGGUUCAAGCCAAGAGCCACUAUGGAAAGUCUAGAGCACCUAGAAAAAUGGCACCAAGAACCAGUAAAAUUCAUG
ensembl:lncRNA